CUUUAACUGAAGGAACAUUGGUGGUGUCAGCCAUUACAGGGUCAUACCUGCAUCAGACCCUAUUCUGUUCCAGAGGACGAUCGAACACACGCUGAAGACAAACACACAGUCGCAGAGCUGGAAGAAAUACACUUUGGUAGGUGCUUACUUAUAUAUUUCACCAUGGAAUAAUUGUCUUUGUUA